GAGAAAGCCAGUUGUGAAUGUGUGUGUGUGUGCGUGUGUGUCCAUACCAGUUUAAAGAGCCUUCUCGACCACUGCAAAGAGUUCAGAGAGGGAGAAGGCCAGGGGCAGCCUUGGUAGAGGGAAGCCCUUCGUUUCUCUCAACCUACGGGGCCUAUAAGGACGUGGGGCCCUCCUGUGACAGUGAUGCCUGAAAUGGCAGAUAAGCCCCUCGGUUGGAAUAACUGCAAAUUGAGAAAGAGGAGGAAGAGAAGAGAAGAGACGACUAGAAUCCUAGAGAAACACAAUAAAGUAAAAAAUAAAGCCGCGUGAUGACGAGGU
rnacentral:lncRNA from 1 species